rnacentral:rRNA from 1 species
UACGUAGGGUGCGAGCGUUGUCCGGAAUUAUUGGGCGUAAAGAGCUUGUAGGCGGUCUGUCGCGUCUGCUGUGAAAAUCCGGGGCUCAACCCCGGACUUGCAGUGGGUACGGGCAGACUAGAGUGUGGUAGGGGAGACUGGAAUUCCUGGUGUAGCGGUGAAAUGCGCAGAUAUCAGGAGGAACACCGGUGGCGAAGGCGGGGUCUCUGGGCCGAUACUGACGCUGAGGAGCGAAAGCGUGGGGAGCGAACAGG